rnacentral:tRNA from 1 species
GAAAUAUAAAGUUUUAAAUUGGGCUGCUAACUUAAUUUAUAGUGGUUUAAUUCCAUUAAUAUUUCU